rnacentral:rRNA from 1 species
GAUGAACGCUAGUUACAGGCUUAACACAUGCAAGUCGAGGGGCAUCAGGAAGAAAGCUUGCUUUCUUUGCUGGCGACCGGCGCACGGGUGAGUAACACGUAUCCAACCUGCCCUUUACUCGGGGAUAGCCUUUCGAAAGAAAGAUUAAUACCCGAUAGCAUAAUGAUUCCGCAUGGUUUCAUUAUUAAAGGAUUCCGGUAAAGGAUGGGGAUGCGUUCCAUUAGGUUGUUGGUGAGGUAACGGCCCACCAAGCCUUCGAUGGAUAGGGGUUCUGAGAGGAAGGUCCCCCACAUUGGAACUGGGACACGGUCCAAACUCCUACGGGAGGCAGCAGUGAGGAAUAUUGGUCAAUGGGCGCUAGCCUGAACCAGCCAAGUAGCGUGAAGGAUGAAGGCUCUAUGGGUCGUAAACUUCUUUUAUAUAAGAAUAAAGUGCAGUAUGUAUACUGUUUUGUAUGUAUUAUAUGAAUAAGGAUCGGCUAACUCCGUGCCAGCAGCCGCGGUAAUACGGAGGAUCCGAGCGUUAUCCGGAUUUAUUGGGUUUAAAGGGAGCGUAGGUGGACUGGUAAGUCAGUUGUGAAAGUUUGCGGCUCAACCGUAAAAUUGCAGUUGAUACUGUCAGUCUUGAGUACAGUAGAGGUGGGCGGAAUUCGUGGUGUAGCGGUGAAAUGCUUAGAUAUCACGAAGAACUCCGAUUGCGAAGGCAGCUCACUGGACUGCAACUGACACUGAUGCUCGAAAGUGUGGGUAUCAAACAGGAUUAGAUACCCUGGUAGUCCACACAGUAAACGAUGAAUACUCGCUGUUUGCGAUAUACAGUAAGCGGCCAAGCGAAAGCAUUAAGUAUUCCACCUGGGGAGUACGCCGGCAACGGUGAAACUCAAAGGAAUUGACGGGGGCCCGCACAAGCGGAGGAACAUGUGGUUUAAUUCGAUGAUACGCGAGGAACCUUACCCGGGCUUAAAUUGCAGUGGAAUGAUGUGGAAACAUGUCAGUGAGCAAUCACCGCUGUGAAGGUGCUGCAUGGUUGUCGUCAGCUCGUGCCGUGAGGUGUCGGCUUAAGUGCCAUAACGAGCGCAACCCUUAUCUUUAGUUACUAACAGGUUAUGCUGAGGACUCUAGAGAGACUGCCGUCGUAAGAUGUGAGGAAGGUGGGGAUGACGUCAAAUCAGCACGGCCCUUACGUCCGGGGCUACACACGUGUUACAAUGGGGGGUACAGAAGGCAGCUAGCGGGUGACCGUAUGCUAAUCCCAAAAUCCUCUCUCAGUUCGGAUCGAAGUCUGCAACCCGACUUCGUGAAGCUGGAUUCGCUAGUAAUCGCGCAUCAGCCACGGCGCGGUGAAUACGUUCCCGGGCCUUGUACACACCGCCCGUCAAGCCAUGGGAGCCGGGGGUACCUGAAGUACGUAACCGCAAGGAUCGUCCUAGGGUAAAACUGGUGACUGGGGCUAAGU